rnacentral:rRNA from 1 species
UAGUGGCGGACGGGUGAGUAAUACGUAGGAAUCUGCCCUUAAGUGGGGGAUAACCAGGGGAAACCCUGACUAAUACCGCAUGAUCUCUUUGGAGCAAAGCAGGGACCUUUUAGGCCUUGCGCUUCUGGAUGAGCCUACGUCUGAUUAGCUAGUUGGUAGGGUAAAGGCCUACCAAGGCGACGAUCAGUAACUGGUCUGAGAGGAUGAUCAGUCACACCGGAACUGAGACACGGUCCGGACUCCUACGGGAGGCAGCAGUGGGGAAUAUUGGACAAUGGGCGAAAGCCUGAUCCAGCAAUGCCGCGUGUGUGAAGAAGGCCUUCGGGUUGUAAAGCACUUUAGGCUGGAAAGAAAAAACUUGGGUUAAUACCUCAAGUCUUGACGGUACCAGCAGAAUAAGCACCGGCUAACUCUGUGCCAGCAGCCGCGGUAAUACAGAGGGUGCAAGCGUUAAUCGGAUUUACUGGGCGUAAAGCGUGUGUAGGUGGUGAUUUAAGUCGGAUGUGAAAGCCCCGGGCUUAACCUGGGAACUGCAUUCGAUACUGGGUCACUAGAGUACGGUAGAGGGAGGCGGAACUCCGGGUGUAGCGGUGAAAUGCGUAGAUAUCCGGAAGAACACCGAUGGCGAAGGCAACCUCCAGGGCCUGUACUGACACUGAGACACGAAAGCGUGGGGAGCAAACAGGAUUAGAU